CCAAUUGUUAGAAUCUCCGCAGAGGUUUCCCCGAAAGGUUGAAUUUCCCGGGAAGACGGAUCCGGCAAGCGCACGAACCAGCGUUCCUGGGUGAGCUGACAUCGUUACAAGAAGGACCGCCCCCACAGCCAUUUCACUAGCAUCUGCCUGAAAGAUGACUGCUUUUGUGGGAUCGGAAUGCGUGAGAACUGGUUCUCUGGUAAACAGGACUAACAUCUCUUCUGCAGGAGGGCCGAAUGUCAGCUUCCCCUUUGAUAUUGCUUGCUUGCUACGGUUGCAAGCAAUGGGGGGAAGGGGGAACUGUCUUGGUAGUUGAAUGAUGGGAAGCGAGCUGGUGAAGAUGUCUCGUAACAGGGAGUGAAUUUCCCUCAGCGCUUUCUCUGCAGCUAGGAGGUGUGGUGAUAACCAGUCAAGGUCAACCGUCCUGGCAUACCAGAAGGAUGGAGACAUCGGAAGCUGUACCCCACAUGACACCUUGUGGGGAAUGCGGAUUGGUCAAUCCUGACUGGUCCCUUGGGGGGAGGGUUUUGGGGAUGCUUUCUGUAUGUGAUUUUCACACCUAUUGCCUCAGACCUUGUUUUUCUUUGGUUGCAUUCAGUUCAUACUGUCAGAUCCCGAAAAGUGAUACUGUCAUUCAAUUGGAGGAAGGGGUAGACUUGGAUUCAAUUUGGCCUGUGUCAACAGA